rfam:Bombyx mori DNA, contig: Bm_scaf55_contig27680, strain: p50T/Dazao, build 2, whole genome shotgun sequence.
UUAACUCGAAUUUGUAUGGACUUGGAACGUUAGCCUACGUUUGCCGCUAGGGGCGCUGUUCCAAUUGCAUACAAGUUUGAGUUA